rnacentral:rRNA from 1 species
GUCUUUUUGAGUUAUUUUUAAAGUCUGACCUGCCCACUGAAUAUUUUUAAAUGGCCGCAGUAUUCUAACUGUGCAAAGGUAGCAUAAUCAUUAGUCUUUUAAUUGAAGGCUGGUAUGAACGGUUGGACGAAGUAUAAGCUGUUUCAUAUAAAAUUAUAUUAGAAUUUUAUAUUUUAGUUAAAAAGCUAAAAUAUUAUUAAAAGACGAGAAGACCCUAUAAAUCUUUAUAUUUAAUAUUAUUCAAAUUUUUUUGAUUAAUUUUAUUUUUAUAAUAUUAAAUAUUUUGUUGGGGUGAUAUUAAAAUUUAACAAACUUUUAAUUUUGAAUUAGAACAUUAAUUUAUGAAUAGUUGAUCCAUUAUUAAUGAUUAUAAGAUUAAGUUACUUUAGGGAUAACAGCGUAAUUUUUUUUGAGAGUUCAUAUCGACAAAAAAGUUUGCGACCUCGAUGUUGGAUUAAGAUAUAUAUUUAGGUGUAGCCGUUUAAAUAUUAAGUCUGNUCGACUUUUAAAUUCUUACAUGAU